rnacentral:rRNA from 1 species
AGAGUUUGAUCCUGGCUCAGGACGAACAUUGGCGGCGCGCCUAAUGCAUGCAAGUCGAGCGAACUCGUUUUCUUCGGAAAACAUAUAGUUAGCGGCGAACGGCUGAGUAACGCGUAAGUAACCUGCCUCGAAGAGGGGAAAAACCAUGAGAAAUCAUGGCUAAUUCCGCGUAAUAUCAAUUAAUUAAUUUAAUUGAAGAAAGAUUUAUCGCUUUGAGAUGGGCUUGCGUCCUAUCAGGUAGUUGGUGAGGUAAUAGCUCACCAAGCCUAAGACGGGUAGCUGGAGUGAGAGCUUGACCAGCCAGAGGGGGACUGAGACACGGCCCCCACUCCUACGGGAGGCAGCAGCAGGGAAUCUUGCACAAUGGGCGAAAGCCUGAUGCAGCGACGCCGCGUGAGGGAUGAAGGUUUUAGGAUCGUAAACCUCUUUUCUUAGGGAAUAGUUUGGAAGGUACCUAAGGAAUAAGUCACGGCUAACUACGUGCCAGCAGCCGCGGUAAUACGUAGGUGGCAAAUGUUGUCCGGAAUCAUUGGGCGUAAAGGGUCCGUAGGUGGCUUGAAUAGUCUUAUGUGAAAUCUCUUGGCUCAACCAAGAAACGCCAUAAGAAACUUUCAAGCUAGAGAUCAUCAGAGGGAGGUAGAAUUCCAGGUGUAGUGGUGAAAUGCGUAGAUAUCUGGAGGAAUACCAAUGGCGAAAGCAGCCUCCUGGGGUGAAUCUGACAUUGAGGGACGAAAGCGUGGGUAGCAAACCGGAUUAGAUACCCGGGUAGUCCAUGCC